CUCUUUAUGUACUGCCCUAUGGAGAGGCACACAUGUCAAGAAACUGAGGGAGUGCCUUCCAGUCAACAGCCAGCCAGGAACUAAGGUGCUCAGUACAGCAGCCUCCACAAAGGACUGAACAAUGCCAACAGCUAUUUGACUGUGCUUGGAAGAUCUCCGUUUAGUUAACCCUUCAGAUGAGACCGCAGCCCUGGCCAGCAAACAAAUUGCAGCCUAUGGAAAGACCUUAAGGCAGAAGCACCCAACUGAACCACCCGAGGGCUCUGACUUACAGAAACUGUGAGCAUGAAAUGGCCUCUACCUUAUUUUGAAUGGAUUUCUGGGAUAAAGUUCUUCAGUGAUAACAUGUUUGAAGCGGCUAUCUUAUGUGCCCAUGUUACAUGCUCAUGAUAAAGCUGCAUUUCCUGAGGGGACACCAAUGGAUACACCUCUGCCUGGCACGCAGCUUAGAGGCUAAAUGUAUGAAAAGCAACACCAUGCAAAUCAUUUUGAAACUGCUGUGGAACUCUCACGGGACCCUCCAUUCUAGACAUCCAGUCCCACUAGUGAUCUGACCAUGAAACCUACUAAGAGACUUCCAGAAGAAGAUGACCUCUGAAAGGAGAAAACUUUCUUCCAAGCUUCUGUGGAACAAGAAGAUGCCAUCCCUUUGGUGGAGCCCAAAGGGAAACCAGGUAGUUAGCAAGAGAAACUGUUGUUAUCAUCUAUGAAAGGUGCUUCCUGGGGUUUCAGAGGAGGGUGCAGAAGGGGAACAGUGAGUCUGGAGGGACAGAUGGAACAUUCCUGCAAUGCUAUCAAUCCAUAUCUGACCCUCAAUUCAUGAAACUUUCCAGACAACCCACCCUGACAGAUCCCUCUCUUCUUAGAGCUCUCACGUACCUUUCUUUUAGCAUUUAACAUUCAUAACCUCAAAUGAAUGAUUUCUAUGCAUGAGUCAUUUCCUGAGUAGACUGUCAGAUCCUUGAAGGCAGGAAGGCAAUGUAAUAUAAUGGAGAAUAUCCUAUGUCUUCAAAUAGUUAUGAAGAUUAGAAAGGCAAUCUAAGCAACAUCC
rnacentral:lncRNA from 1 species